rnacentral:lncRNA from 1 species
UUUUCAAGGGAUAGUGAGUACUCCUUAGGAAAAUAAACAUGAAAUGAACAACAAAAUCGCCACACGGAAAUGUAACAAAGCACCUUGAAACACUCAGAUUUUCAAGAACAAAUACCCAAAAAAAAAAACAAUCGAAUCAUAUCCAAAUCCAGUUAAAGAGCAACCAUUGUAUACAAAGGAGGAGAGACCUCUAUGCCAACUUCACAUGAAGUCUCAAUCGAAGAGAUUAAAAAAAAUAGAAACCAAACGAAGUCACAUUACAUGUCGUUAAGGAAAGUUAUAUGCUAACAAAGUCACAUUACAAAUAAUAGCCAAAUGGGUCUUGUAAUAAGGAGCAAGAACACAAACAAAUGUUAACAAACUCUACAAGAUCUUAAUCAAAGAACAUUGUGCAAGCUUCUUCACCUCUCAGCGCGGCCACUUACGUGUAGUGGAGAUGAUGUGGUACCAUGUGCAAAAAGUUACACAGAAGGUAAAAAAAAAAACAAAGUGUCUGAGCGGAAAUUUGAACCUGUGACCUCUAGUGGGUGAGACUAGCUUAGACAUUUUUUUCCUUUUAUUUUCCCAACAAAAUAAAAAGGAAAAUAACAUUUAAAAUAAAUAUCUGGAAUUUUUAAAAAAGGAAAUUGUUACCGUUUCCGACCGUUGACACUUUUCUUGUAUAUUGGUCUCACUUCACACUCUCUCACUUCUCACAUCUCACUUCACACUCUCUCACUCUCACUCUCACUCACUCCACUCUCUCAGUUUUAUCUAAUCGGAGAAGUUUAUUUAUGUCUCGGACGGAUGUUCAACCAACCGAU